UGAACACAUCUGGUGGUAUCUCAGU
rnacentral:miRNA from 1 species